GCGAGAGCCUGAACCAGCCAAGUCGCGUGAAGGAAGACUGCCUUAUGGGUUGUAAACUUCUUUUAUACCGGAAUAAAAAGGCUUACGUGUAGGCCAUUGCUAGUACUGUAUGAAUAAGCAUCGGCUAACUCCGUGCCAGCAGCCGCGGUAAUACGGAGGAUGCGAGCGUUAUCCGGAUUUAUUGGGUUUAAAGGGUGCGCAGGCGGGCUUUUAAGUCAGAUGUGAAAGGCUACGGCUCAACCGUAGUAAGCAUUUGAAACUGCAGGGCUUGAGUGCAGGAGAGGAGAGUGGAAUUCCUAGUGUAGCGGUGAAAUGCGUAGAUAUUAGGAGGAACACCAGUGGCGAAGGCGACUCUCUGGACUGUAACUGACGCUGAGGCACGAAAGCGUGGGGAGCAAACA
rnacentral:rRNA from 1 species